AUGGUGGUUCGCCUCCUCUUCCUCCUCCUCCUCCCCGUUUGCUCCUUCCUCUUCCUCGAGCUCCCCUCGGUCUCAGGCAAACCAACUGUCCAUGAUGACUUGGAUCCAGCUCAGGUGACCAACCCGACCACGCCCAUCACAGUCCCAUCGACGAACCCAGCACCAACAAUCAUCACCGUGCCGUCCACAAACCCUACCAUCACAAUCCCUUCAUUAAACCCUUUGCCCACACCUAUCACAACCCCCUCAAACGACCCUUCUACCACAUUACCAUUGCCAACCCCUUCGACAUCUGCACCGAACACGCCAGUCACCAUUCCUGUUACCACCCCUUCGACAUUCCCCCCAUCGGCACCCCUGACAAACCCAGCGGCGAACCCAAUGGUGCCUACUGUCGGCACUACACCGCCUACUGCUCCGACCACUACUCCGGUCACAGCUCCAGUUGUGUCAGGGCAGCAAGCCUGGUGCGUGGCCAAGGCCGGCUCAUCAGAAACCGCGCUCCAGGAAGCACUGGACUAUGCGUGCGGUAUUGGUGGAGCAGAUUGCUCACCGAUACAGCCAUCAGGGAGCUGCUAUUAUCCAAAUACCUUGGAAGCCCAUGCGUCAUACGCCUUCAACAGCUAUUACCAGAAGAACCCAGCACCCUCCAGCUGCGACUUUAGGGGUGCCGCAAUGCUUGCCAAUGCUAAUCCAAGCUCAGGAACCUGUGUAUUGGCAUCAUCAAUGUCUUCUCCAACGAGCUCUACUGCUGGAUCCACUGCUCCUACUACAUCAUCCACUAGCCCUGUUACUAGUUCAUCUGGUUCUGAUCCAGGAUCAUCAGUACUGAACUCUAGUGGCUCAGGCAUUUCUGGAUCAUCGGACUUUGGGUCGGACUUCCCAGGAGAGGCCAACACCGGCAAUGGUUGGCACUCAAUCUUGCCCUCUGGCUGGUCCUGGGCAGGUUUGUUCUCAACGCUUGCAUUGCCAUACGUUGGAGGGAUAUUUUGA
rnacentral:rRNA from 1 species